UACAGAGGUCUCAAGCGUUGUUCGGAUUCAUUGGGCGUAAAGGGUGCGUAGGUGGCGUCGUAAGUGGGGUGUGAAAUCCCGGGGCUUAACCCUGGAACUGCAUUUGAUACUGCCUUGCUGGAGAACUGGAGAGGAGACUGGAAUUUACGGUGUAGCAGUGAAAUGCGUAGAGAUCGUAAGGAAGACCAGUGGCGAAGGCGAGUCUCUGGACAGUUCCUGACGCUGAGGCACGAAGGCCAGGGGAGCAAACGGG
rnacentral:rRNA from 1 species